AUGCUACCGCAGUAUUUAUAUGCAAGGAACAUGCAGUCAAACCUGUUGGGGUAAGACCCGCGGCAAUGUUUCACAAUGACCUUUAGGUAUCAGCAAAAUUGAAACAAUACAGUAGUAUGGCAUAUUUACGCCGUAGGCAUGUGCAUCGUCACAGAGGCUGGCAAAGGUAGGUCAGAAAACAACAACAAUGAAGUGAGCAGUGAUCUCACUGGCUUAGCCGGACGAUA